AAUUCUUCGCUUCAAGUCUCUCUCUAUCACAAGUAGCCACCAUGAAGCACUUAAUGCUGUAUACAAAAAAGAACAAAGUAUAUCAAAGAAACAUAGAAAAGACUAAUAACCUCUCUAACGAUCCAAUGGAACCUAACCUCUCUAACAAUCAUUCAAAUAGACAGGACGCUCGCUAGUUUCUAAUUGUUUCCACACUAUGAAUAUACUACACUUGUCGCCUCAAAACGUGACGGAUGUUCCUUAUCUCUCUCUCCAGU
rnacentral:lncRNA from 1 species